UACGGAGGGGGCUAGCGUUGUUCGGAAUUACUGGGCGUAAAGCGCGCGUAGGCGGAUCUGCAAGUCGGGGGUGAAAUCCCGAGGCUCAACCUCGGAACUGCCUUCGAUACUGCGGGUCUCGAGUCCGGGAGAGGUGAGUGGAAUUCCUAGUGUAGAGGUGAAAUUCGUAGAUAUUAGGAAGAACACCAGUGGCGAAGGCGGCUCACUGGCCCGGUACUGACGCUGAGGCGGACGGAAAAGCGUGGGGAGCAAACACGG
rnacentral:rRNA from 1 species